AGGAAAGGAUUUUGAAGUCGUCAAUAGAAGCAGCGUGGCCUGUGGAUGUGAGAAAAUGCUGGACUGGGGAGGAUUUUUACAUCCACAGGCCACGCUGCUUCUAUUGACGACUUCGAAAUCCUCUCCUC